UACGUAGGGUGCGAGCGUUGUCCGGAAUUAUUGGGCGUAAAGGGCGCGUAGGUGGCGCGACAAGUCAGUGGUGAAAGCUCGAUGCUUAACAUCGAGUCGGCCACUGAUACUGUUGGGCUUGAGCACUGUAGAGGCUAAUGGAAUUCCGGGUGUAGCGGUGGAAUGCGUAGAGAUCCGGAAGAACACCGGUGGCGAAGGCGGUUAGCUGGGCAGUUGCUGACACUGAGGCGCGACAGCGUGGGGAGCAAACAGG
rnacentral:rRNA from 1 species